UACGGGGGGGGCAAGCGUUGUUCGGAAUUACUGGGCGUAAAGGGCUCGUAGGCGGCCAACUAAGUCAGACGUGAAAUCCCCAGGCUUAACCUGGGAACUGCGUCUGAUACUGGAUGGCUUGAAUUCGGGAGAGGGAUGCAGAAUUCCAGGUGUAGCGGUGAAAUGCGUAGAUAUCAGGAGGAACACCGGUGGCGAAGGCGGAUCUCUGGGCCAUUACUGACGCUGAGGAGCGAAAGCGUGGGGAGCGAACAGG
rnacentral:rRNA from 1 species